GACGACGCUGGCGGCGUGCCUAACACAUGCAAGUCGAACGGGGAUAUGAUUUCGGUUGUAUCCCAGUGGCGAACGGGUGAGUAACGCGUGAGCAACCUGUCCUUUUGAGGGGGGAUAACACUUGGAAACAGGUGCUAAUACCGCAUAAGACCACGGGUCCGCAUGGACCAGAGGUCAAAGGAGCAAUCCGCAGAAGGAGGGGCUCGCGUCCCAUUAGGUAGAUGGCGGGGUAACGGCCCACCAUGCCAACGAUGGGUAGCCGAGCUGAGAGGCUGAUCGGCCACACUGGAACUGAGACACGGUCCAGACUCCUACGGGAGGCAGCAGUGGGGAAUAUUGGGCAAUGGGCGAAAGCCUGACCCAGCAACGCCGCGUGAGGGAAGAAGGCCUUCGGGUUGUAAACCUCUGUCCUUGGUGACGAAAAAAAUGACGGUAGCCAAGGAGGAAGCCCCGGCUAACUACGUG
rnacentral:rRNA from 1 species